rnacentral:rRNA from 1 species
UGGCCUACGGGGGGCAGCAGUGAGGAAUAUUGGUCAAUGGGCGAGAGCCUGAACCAGCCAAGUCGCGUGAGGGAAGACGGUCCUAUGGAUUGUAAACCUCUUUUGUCGGGGAGCAAAAAGGCCUCGUGAGGCCACAAGUGAGAGUACCCGAAGAAAAAGCAUCGGCUAACUCCGUGCCAGCAGCCGCGGUAAUACGGAGGAUGCGAGCGUUAUCCGGAUUUAUUGGGUUUAAAGGGUGCGCAGGCGGAGGUGCAAGUCAGCGGUCAAAUUGCGGGGCUCAACCCCGUACUGCCGUUGAAACUGCA